GAUGAACGCUGGCGGCGUGCCUAAUACAUGCAAGUCGAGCGAACAGAUGAGAGUGCUUGCCCUCUGUGACGUUAGCGGCGGGGGGGUGUGUCACACGUGGGUAAUCUCUCUAUAAGACGGGUAUAACUUCGGGAAACCGGCUCUAAUCCCAGAAUAUAUCUAGCUUCGCAUGACGCAAGUGUGAAAGGCUGUUCUGCUGUCUCUUAGAGAUGCACCCGCGGUGUAUUAGCUAGUUGGUGAGGUAACGGCUUACCAAGGCCACGAUACAUAGCCGACCUGAGAGGGUGAUCGGCCACACUGGGACUGAGACACGGUCCAGACUCCUACGGGAGGCAGCAGUAGGGAAUCUUCCGCAAUGGACGAAAGUCUGACGGAGCAAUGCCGCGUGAGUGAUGAAGGUUUUCGGAUCGUAAAACUCUGUUGUAAGGGAAGAACAAAUGCGUUAGUAACUGAGCGGAUCUUGACGGUACCUUAACAGAAAGCCACGGCUAACUACGUG
rnacentral:rRNA from 1 species